GAUGAACGCUGGCGGCGUGCCUAAUACAUGCAAGUCGAGCGAAUGGAUUAAGAGCUUGCUCUUAUGAAGUUAGAGGCGGACGGGUGAGUAACACGUGGGUAACCUGCCCAUAAAACUGGGAUAACUCCGGGAAACGUGGGCUAAUACCGUAAAACAUUUUGAACCGCAUGGUUCGAAAUUGAAAGGCGUCUUCGGCUGUCACUUAUGGAUGGACCCGCAUCGCAUUAGCUAGUUGGUGAGGUAUCGGCUCACCAAGGCAACGAUGCGUAGCCGACCUGAGAGGGUGAUCGGCCACACUGGGACUGAGACACGGCCCAGACUCCUACGGGAGGCAGCAGUAGGGAAUCUUCCGCAAUGGACGAAAGUCUGACGGAGCAACGCCGCGUGAGUGAUGAAGGCUUUCGGGUCGUAAAACUCUGUUGUUAGGGAAGAACAAGUGCUAGUUGAAUAAGCUGGCACCUUGACGGUACCUAACCAGAAAGCCACGGCUAACUACGUGCCAGCCGCCGCGGUAA
rnacentral:rRNA from 1 species